GUGAGACCGGAGAGUUUCGGGCUCGGCUCGACUCUCCACCCUUUGUGAACGUACCUCUGUUGCUUUGGCGGCUCCGGCCGCCAAAGGACCUCCAAACUCCAGUCAGUAAACGCAGACGUCUGAUAAACAAGUUAAUAAACUAAAACUUUCAACAACGGAUCUCUUGGUUCUGGCAUCGAUGAAGAACGCAGCAACAA
rnacentral:rRNA from 1 species